rnacentral:rRNA from 1 species
AACGCUGGCGGCGUGCCUAAUACAUGCAAGUCGAGCGAACGGACGAGAAGCUUGCUUCUCUGAUGUUAGCGGCGGACGGGUGAGUAACACGUGGAUAACCUACCUAUAAGACUGGGAUAACUUCGGGAAACCGGAGCUAAUACCGGAUAAUAUUUUGAACCGCAUGGUUCAAAAGUGAAAGACGGUCUUGCUGUCACUUAUAGAUGGAUCCGCGCUGCAUUAGCUAGUUGGUAAGGUAACGGCUUACCAAGGCAACGAUGCAUAGCCGACCUGAGAGGGUGAUCGGCCACACUGGAACUGAGACACGGUCCAGACUCCUACGGGAGGCAGCAGUAGGGAAUCUUCCGCAAUGGGCGAAAGCCUGACGGAGCAACGCCGCGUGAGUGAUGAAGGUCUUCGGAUCGUAAAACUCUGUUAUUAGGGAAGAACAUAUGUGUAAGUAACUGUGCACAUCUUGACGGUACCUAAUCAGAAAGCCACGGCUAACUACGUGCCAGCAGCCGCGGUAAUACGUAGGUGGCAAGCGUUAUCCGGAAUUAUUGGGCGUAAAGCGCGCGUAGGCGGUUUUUUAAGUCUGAUGUGAAAGCCCACGGCUCAACCGUGGAGGGUCAUUGGAAACUGGAAAACUUGAGUGCAGAAGAGGAAAGUGGAAUUCCAUGUGUAGCGGUGAAAUGCGCAGAGAUAUGGAGGAACACCAGUGGCGAAGGCGACUUUCUGGUCUGUAACUGACGCUGAUGUGCGAAAGCGUGGGGAUCAAACAGGAUUAGAUACCCUGGUAGUCCACGCCGUAAACGAUGAGUGCUAAGUGUUAGGGGGUUUCCGCCCCUUAGUGCUGCAGCUAACGCAUUAAGCACUCCGCCUGGGGAGUACGACCGCAAGGUUGAAACUCAAAGGAAUUGACGGGGACCCGCACAAGCGGUGGAGCAUGUGGUUUAAUUCGAAGCAACGCGAAGAACCUUACCAAAUCUUGACAUCCUUUGACAACUCUAGAGAUAGAGCCUUCCCCUUCGGGGGACAAAGUGACAGGUGGUGCAUGGUUGUCGUCAGCUCGUGUCGUGAGAUGUUGGGUUAAGUCCCGCAACGAGCGCAACCCUUAAGCUUAGUUGCCAUCAUUAAGUUGGGCACUCUAAGUUGACUGCCGGUGACAAACCGGAGGAAGGUGGGGAUGACGUCAAAUCAUCAUGCCCCUUAUGAUUUGGGCUACACACGUGCUACAAUGGACAAUACAAAGGGCAGCGAAACCGCGAGGUCAAGCAAAUCCCAUAAAGUUGUUCUCAGUUCGGAUUGUAGUCUGCAACUCGACUACAUGAAGCUGGAAUCGCUAGUAAUCGUAGAUCAGCAUGCUACGGUGAAUACGUUCCCGGGUCUUGUACACACCGCCCGUCACACCACGAGAGUUUGUAACACCCGAAGCCGGUGGAGUAACCUUUUAGGAGCUAGCCGUCGAAGGUGGGACAAAUGAUUGGGGUGAAGUCGUAACAAGGUAGCCGUAUCGGAAGGUGCGGCUGGAUCACCUCCUUUCUAA